rnacentral:rRNA from 1 species
UACCAGCACCCCGAGUGGUCGGGACGUUUUUAUUGGGCCUAAAGCAUCCGUAGCCGGUUCUACAAGUCUUCCGUUAAAUCCAACUGCUUAACAGGUGGGCUGCGGAAGAUACUAUAGAGCUAGGAGGCGGGAGAGGCAAGCGGUACUCGAUGGGUAGGGGUAAAAUCCGUUGAUCCAUUGAAGACCACCAGUGGCGAAGGCGGCUUGCCAGAACGCGCUCGACGGUGAGGGAUGAAAGCUGGGGGGAGCAAACCGG